rnacentral:rRNA from 1 species
ANNNNGNNGCAGGGCUAAACAUGCAAGUCGAGCGGUAACAGGGGUAGCUUGCUACCCGCUGACGAGCGGCGGACGGGUGAGUAAUGCAUAGGAAUCUGCCCGAUAGUGGGGGAUAACCUGGGGAAACCCAGGCUAAUACCGCAUACGUCCUACGGGAGAAAGGGGGCUUCGGCUCCCGCUAUUGGAUGAGCCUAUGUCGGAUUAGCUAGUUGGUGAGGUAAAGGCUCACCAAGGCUGCGAUCCGUAGCUGGUCUGAGAGGAUGAUCAGCCACAUCGGGACUGAGACACGGCCCGAACUCCUACGGGAGGCAGCAGUGGGGAAUAUUGGACAAUGGGGGCAACCCUGAUCCAGCCAUGCCGCGUGUGUGAAGAAGGCCCUCGGGUUGUAAAGCACUUUCAGCGAGGAAGAACGCCUAGCGGUUAAUACCCGCUAGGAAAGACAUCACUCGCAGAAGAAGCACCGGCUAACUCCGUGCCAGCAGCCGCGGUAAUACGGAGGGUGCAAGCGUUAAUCGGAAUUACUGGGCGUAAAGCGCGCGUAGGUGGCUUGAUAAGCCUGUUGUGAAANCCCCGGGCUCAACCUGGGAACGGCAUCCUCU